CUAUAUGACCAAUUAAAGAAACCACGUACAAAAUUCAAAUCUUUAUUGAAUUAGAAACCCCCAAAGAAAGAACAAAUCUUUACCAGAGUAAUGACACCUAACACCAAUUAAGCUAAGCAGAAUGAAUGAGAAACAUAAUACCCACAUGGUCAAUUAACAAAACCACGUAUUAAGUUUAAAUUUUUAUUAUAAAAAGUGAAUUAACAAAACCCAAAAAACAAAUCUUUAUUAAAAUAAGUGACAACCUGAGAACCCAAGAAGAUAAUCCUUUGACGAAGAAGCAUAUUGGUAGUAUCAAGUUCUUCAAAUCUGGGCAACCAAGAAGGUGCUUUAGAGUAACUCGAAACAUCCCAGUUCCGAGAUAGCGUCGGUUUCGCUGUAGAAAAGUCAGGUGCUUUUGAGUAACUGGAAACAUCCCAGUUCCGAGAUAGCGUCGGUUUCGCUGUAGAAAAGUUGUGGGUCGAUGCUUUUAUUGACAAUCCUCUUCUUCGUUUAUCAUUUGUAAUAGUAUUAGGUAGUGAAUUGCUGUAAAAUUGUUUGGUAAUUGUGGGAUUGUAAUUGAAUAAGGUUGAAGGUCUUGUUGGUGCUGUGGUGAAUGUUAGACAACCUCCCUCCAUCUAAGCUGUUCCUUCUUUCUCUUUGCUUUUAGGGGUUUUGGCUAAGAAUUUGAAGUAUAGAUUUUUUCAAUUCCUUUUAACAGAUAUGACACAUAUAUUCCGAAAAGAAAAC
rnacentral:lncRNA from 1 species